rnacentral:tRNA from 5 species
GGGGCUAUAGCUCAGUUGGUAGAGCACUUCCAUGGCAUGGAAGGGGUCAGGGGUUCAAUUCCCCUUAGCUCCA